rnacentral:rRNA from 1 species
AACUUUCAACAACGGAUCUCUUGGUUCUGGCAUCGAUGAAGAACGCAGCGAAAUGCGAUAAGUAAUGUGAAUUGCAGAAUUCAGUGAAUCAUCGAAUCUUUGAACGCACAUUGCGCCCGCUGGUAUUCCAGCGGGCAUGCCUGUUCGAGCGUC